rnacentral:rRNA from 1 species
AGAGUUUGAUCAUGGCUCAGAACGAACGCUGGCGGCAGGCUUAACACAUGCAAGUCGAACGAAGGCUUCGGCCUUAGUGGCGCACGGGUGAGUAACACGUGGGAAUAUACCUCUUGGUGGGGGAUAACGUCGGGAAACUGACGCUAAUACCGCAUACGCCCUUCGGGGGAAAGAUUUAUCGCCGAGAGAUUAGCCCGCGUCCGAUUAGCUAGUUGGUGAGGUAAUGGCUCACCAAGGCGACGAUCGGUAGCUGGUCUGAGAGGAUGAUCAGCCACACUGGGACUGAGACACGGCCCAGACUCCUAGGGGAGGCAGCAGUGGGGAAUAUUGGACAAUGGGGGCAACCCUGAUCCAGCCAUGCCGCGUGAGUGAUGAAGGCCUUAGGGUUGUAAAGCUCUUUCACCCACGACGAUGAUGACGGUAGUGGGAGAAGAAGCCCCGGCUAACUUCGUGCCAGCAGCCGCGGUAAUACGAAGGGGGCUAGCGUUGUUCGGAAUUACUGGGCGUAAAGCGCACGCAGGCGGUGGUCAUAGUCAGAAGUGAAAGCCCUGGGCUCAACCCGGGAAUUGCUUUUGAUACUGGGCCGCUAGAAUCACGGAGAGGGUAGUGGAAUUCCGAGUGUAGAGGUGAAAUUCGUAGAUAUUCGGAAGAACACCAGUGGCGAAGGCGACUACCUGGCCGUCGAUUGACGCUCAUGUGCGAAAGC